UAUGAGAUCAAAGAUGGCCUCUCCAUGGAAGCUAUUGUUUGAGGAUGAGUCCGCGUACCAUUAGCUAGUUGGUAGGGUAAAAGCCUACCAAGGCGACGAUGGUUAGCUGGUCUGAGAGUAUGACCAGCCACACUGGAACUGACACACGGUCCAGACUCCUACGGGAGGCAGCAGUGAGGAAUUUUGCGCAAUGGGGGAAACCCUGACGCAGCAACGCCGCGUGAGUGAUGAAGGCCUUUGGGUCGUAAAGCUCUGUCAAGUGGGAAGAACCUACCUGUGGGUAAUAUUCAUAGGUACUGACGGUACCACUGAAGGAAGCACCGGCUAACUCCGUGCCAGCAGCCGCGGUAAUACGGGGGGGUGCAAGCGUUAUUCGGAAUUAUUGGGCGUAAAGGGCGCGUAGGCGGUCCUGUUAGUCAGAUGUGAAAGCCCGGGGCUCAACCCCGGAAGAGCAUUUGAAACGGCAAGACUUGAGUAUGGGAGAGGGAAGUGGAAUUCCUGGUGUAGAGGUGAAAUUCGUAGAUAUCAGGAGGAACAUCUGUGGCGAAGGCGACUUCCUGGACCAAUACUGACGCUGAGGCGCGAAGGCGUGGGUAGCAAACAGGAUUAGAUACCCUGGUAGUCCACGCAGUAAACGGUGUUCACUAGGUGUAGCGGGUAUUGACCCCUGCUGUGCCGCAGUUAACGCAUUAAGUGAACCGCCUGGGGAGUACGAUCGCAAGAUUAAAACUCAAAGGAAUUGACGGGGGCCCGCACAAGCGGUGGAGCAUGUGGUUUAAUUCGACGCAACGCGAAGAACCUUACCUGGCCUUGACAUGCAAGUAGUAGAAGCCUGAAAGGGUAACGACCCCGCAAGGGGAGCUUGCACAGGUGCUGCAUGGCUGUCGUCAGCUCGUGUCGUGAGAUGUUGGGUUAAGUCCCGCAACGAGCGCAACCCUUGUGCCCUGUUGCCACUCCUGCGAGAGCGGGAAGCACUCUGGGCAGACUGCCUCGUCUAAACGGGGAGGAAGGUGGGGAUGACGUCAAGUCAGCAUGGCCCUUACGGCCAGGGCUGCACACGUACUACAAUGCCUGGUACAAUAGGAAGCAAGACCGCAAGGUGGAGCAAAUCCCAUAAAAUCAGGCCCAGUUCGGAUUGUCGUCUGCAACUCGACGACAUGAAGCCGGAAUCGCUAGUAAUGGCGCAUCAGCUACGGCGCCGUGAAUACGUUCCCAGGCCUUGUACACACCGCCCGUCACAUCAUGAAAGCCGGCGGUACCCGAAGUCAGUGUGCCAACCGCAAGGAGGUAGCUGCCGAAGGUAUGGCUGGUGAUUGGGAU
rnacentral:rRNA from 1 species